UUGUUUUAAUUUUUGUUUUGUCAUUUGUUAUUUGUUUUUUAAUCGUUUUUGGUUUGUUUGUUUAUUGGUUUGUUUGUUUGUUAUUAAAUUAAAAUAUGCCCUGACAAGUGGUUGACUGCUGGUCCAAGCAAAGUUUGAAUUUUAGAAACAAUAAUUUAUUUUAACCAAAACAUUAGCAAUUUAACGGUUAUUUUUAAACUUGUUUUAAGCAGUUUAAACGUUGACUUGACCUUUUCCGCUGGAAACAAAAGCAUAAAGUUACAGCAAUUCGCCACCUUAUGGUGGACGAGUGUGUCGCAGACCAUUUUUACGUGCUACACUUAAACGUGUCAAUCUCAGAAGUUCAGAUCGGGCCUGGUGGAAAUCAUCAGCCACAGGGUCAAACCAACAAUCCAACCUGAGUUGGCUCUGCGCAAAUUUUACUAAAAUAAUCCAAACUGUAAUAUUAUUAAUAAUAAUGGUAAUAUUCUUGGAACGUAUUUAUUUAUUUUUAUUGUUUUGGGGCAUUAUGUGCAUUUUGAUUUUAUUAUGUUUAGUGUUUUUAUGUCUUAUAAUAUCCAUUUUUAGUAUGGUCUGAUUGUUGACUCUAAUUUUAAUGUACAUGGGCUAUGAUUUUAUCACGUAUUGCACUUUAAGCAGCCUUGGCUGGUGGCAUUAAGGUGCUUUAUAAAUAAAUAAAUGAAAUGCAGUUGUUUUUAUUUUCACACCUUUUAGAGUGUAUUUCUUUCAUUUCAAGCACGUUGGCCGAAAUAAAUAGUAGAACUGCAAUCCAAAAAUAAUAUCCAAAUCCAAUAAUAUCCAAAACAAUCCAAAAAUAAACAGGUUUCAUACAGAUUGUUGGUAGAUAUUGUUUGAAUAAUUAGGCUAAUACAUAUUUUACAGCCUAUUCAUUUUCUUAGUUUAUUUUGACAGCAUAUCUCCAGCAGAUCGGUGCUUUCAUUCUAGAGUUGACAAACUGAUCGUUUUUGCGCUACAGCGGAAGGCGCAAAAGACUCGCUGUCAUUUGCGUAGGAAUCCCAGUGAGUAGACUUGUUGCGAGCCAUAAGGCGGCGGCAGCAGCGUCCCGGAGCUGUCAAACACUGCGCACGGGCUCCGGUCGGCCGUCAGAGGAGAGAGGUGAGCGGACUAAUCCAUCAGACAAACAAGUCUGGAGAUGAACCUUUUUCUGCCCUCCAGAAACUAGUUUUUUCCUCCGCCACCGGAAGCUCGCCAGAACAUUUUGCUCAUUUUGUCACAUGGCUUUCGGUAGAAUUCAAUAACAACAAAAAAUGGCGACACUCACGUUGCUCUGUGUGGUCUUGCUGCGUCAUUAAAAAUAUUCAUGUAAACACGGGGACGGAAAGGGGACAGACGCAGUGCAGAGGGCGGACUCGGAGAGGAGGAGGAGUCGUUACGUCAGCCAGUGACGCGCACAGACCGCUCCACAGGAGAGAGAGAGCGAGGGGGAGGAGCUCCAGACCUGAACCAUAACAAGUCUGACAUCACUCAGCCUUGUGGUAUGAAAAUAAUAUAAAAGUUUGUCUCAACAGAUCCCCAGGAACAAGGAUGGAGAAAGAAAAGAAAAGCACCAGUGGACCAUUAACAAGCGUUUAUGUGCAGCUAUGACGGGACAAAAUGUUUUAUAUUUAAAUAAAUCAAGAAACCAACUCCAACAUGAAACUUUAGCAUUGUUGUCCUCCUCCUAACCAGAUUUUCAGUAAUUAAUAGCACACUGUUUAUACUUUUGUUACCUGAAUUGACCUUUCGCUGUGCAUUUGUAUUACCUACUUGUGAUUGUUAGGAUGUUGCAAACCCAAAAUUAUUUUGAGCAAUUAAAAUAAAAAAUUAUAUUUCAUAUUAAAAUAUUAAUGGUCAGACAAAUGAAUUCCAUGAAACAUAGCAGGUAAACAUAAUGAAAUAUAGUGGAAGAUUCCAGUCUCCAUACACAAAAAUAUAGAUUUACUUUCCACCUAAUGUUUUAAUGUUACAUUCAGACUAAUCCUUAUGGUAUAAUAAACAAAAGAUUGCCCUUUAAAGAACAGAAAUUGACCACUAAAACAACAGUUUACUUGAGGAUUAACUGACCUGCAUGCAAGCACUAAAGUCUCAGAUUUUUUAGCUACUUUUUUCUACUUUUUGCGGGCAAAAUUAGACCAGUGAGGAUUUUUCUGUAGACAUAAAUUUCUUUUUCUCCCCCUGCUUUAUUAUUUUGUUUUCCCUAUAAUUGUAUCUCCUUUUAAAACUACGAAUGUCCUUUAAUUUAUUCAAAUUAGGCAUUUUUGAAUUGAAUGACUUCAUGAUUGCACUCAUUUUGCUACAAAUGGUGAGAAAUUACAUCAUCUCCAUGCAACUUGUUGACCCUCCGUUUGAACACCAAGAGUCGAUGGCAGAUGGAGUGAAUCUGCAGUCUGCUAGAUUUGACUGGCUGCCCUGGUUCAGUUAUCACAGUGCUGAUGCUGUCCCCAUCGAAGGUACAGUACUGUGAUAACUGAAGGAUGGCUGCCACCUUGACGCUGAUGCAGAGGUCAGCUGACCAGAGGGCUGAUGAACAAACGGGAGACGCAAGUGUGUUAGUAAGUCGUCGUUUUCCAGUGCAGAAUAAAGGUUUCAACUAGA